AUUGAACGCUGGCGGCAUGCCUUACACAUGCAAGUCGAACGGCAGCACGGGGCAACCUGGUGGCGAGUGGCGAACGGGUGAGUAAUGCAUCGGAACGUGCCAUUGAGUGGGGGAUAACGUAGCGAAAGUUGCGCUAAUACCGCAUAUUCUGUGAGCAGGAAAGCAGGGGACCGCAAGGCCUUGCGCUCUUUGAGCGGCCGAUGUCAGAUUAGCUAGUUGGUGAGGUAACGGCUUACCAAGGCGACGAUCUGUAGCGGGUCUGAGAGGAUGAUCCGCCACACUGGAACUGAGACACGGUCCAGACUCCUACGGGAGGCAGCAGUGGGGAAUUUUGGACAAUGGGGGCAACCCUGAUCCAGCAAUGCCGCGUGAGUGAAGAAGGCCCUCGGAUUGUAAAGCUCUUUUGUCAGGGAAGAAAAGGCUGUGGCUAAUAUCCACAGCUGCUGACGGUACCUGAAGAAUAAGCACC
rnacentral:rRNA from 1 species